GUGUGUGCGCGCGCGCGCGCGCGCGCGGACGACUGGUGUGCGCCUCCUAAGUGGAUCUCACCUAGAGCUGGGAAGCUCGGGAGGGAAAGACCGGGAGAAAGAAAGAGGUAGAGAGGAGGUGCUGGGUGAGGAGGCCUGGCCGGCACUCCCUGACCAGCUUUGUUGUGGUCAUCCUGGACGCAGAGGCCAGGGCGAAGGAAAGCCGGCUAAUGGCUGUGUUAAUUAUACCAGGCGAUUUCUUGGGAUCGGGAAGGAAGGUGGGGCCGACUCUCAGUGAACUUUUCCAAAAAGGACAGGGAGGAUGGUAACUAUCUCACAGCGUUUGUGUAGAAAGUAGUUCUGGCCGGUGUAUCACCCAGUCCCUGGCCGAGGCUGCACCCAGCCUCACCUCUGCGCCGCGGGUUUCCCAGAGGCAGCGCGUCAAUCAUUCCGAGUUCAGAGCUGGGGGGGCGGGGCUACGGUCGCCCAGCGCGUGGAGCGCGGCUACCCCGGCAGCCCCCCGGCUCCCCACAGCCCUGCAGCCUGGCGCUGCGCUCCAAACGCGCGCUGUCCGCAACUCCUCGCCCUCACCCUGGUUCAUGGUCCCAGGCCCAGAGAAUCGAAAACAGGCUGUUCCUCAACAGCCGUCUUUCUCGCCAACUUUGAACCCAUUUUGGAGAGUAGAAAGUAGUAUAUCCUUCCCGCGCGACUUUGACCCGGCUUCUUGGGGGUUGCGUAUACGGGGAGAAUAAAGUGUGUGAGUGUGCAUGAGAGAGAGAGAGAGAGAGAGAGAGAGAGAGAGAGAGAGAGAGAGAGAGAGAGAGAGGGAGGAGAGCGGAGAGCGGAUGGGCUUUUGGGGUGGAGGGAUUUCCAUCUUCUCUUCUUCACUGUAAGCUUUCGGGCAAGACUCAGUUGGGCUUAGAUCGCAGCCUGCAGAGACUCCAAGCUGAGUCGGAGAAAUUUGGCCCCGUUUUAAUAGGGCUUGGGGAAUAAGCUCCGGAGGUCAAUAAAGCCCUCCAAAAAUGAUGAAUGAUUGAGCACCUGUGAUGAUGAUAGUGAUUACCAGAGCAAUUAAACAGUUUGAUUAAAUGAGCCAUCAUAACAAUGAUGUCUACGGGAAAUCGGCCCUCACAUAUAAAGAAAGGGCGGAGGGCUGGCAGAAGCAAGAGUAGUGUGAUGCUAGGGAGCCGGGCUGCGGACCGCGAGGUACACUACGUGGUGGCCCGAACAGGCACAGCCGGGGGCGCGGAGCUUAGGGGAGGAGAGGAAGAACUCCAAGAUUGAAAGCAUCCUUAUUGCUGAGUUGCUCGUCGGUAUAUAAGAAAAGGUGAGUAAAAAAAAAAAAAAAAGAGAAGAUGCCAAAAAAUUGACUUCCAGGAUAUUAUUUCAAGUUGCUGUUAGGCGAAUUCACGUUAGCCGGGGUGAGAAGAACGCGAGAGAGAGGAAGGAGAAGGAGAGAGAUGGGGGUGGGGUGGGGAACCCCAAACAAUCGGGUCUUGCUGUAGAGCAUUUUCGACCUUGCAGAGGUUUUACAUUAGCGGACCCAAGUUCCCUGUGAAGCGGCGCUAGUCAAGAAGUUUAUGCCAUUUUUCAGUGCCAAUUGUUCUUGUUUUUAAUAUUGCUACUUACUGUCGACAGGAUUGUUUUAAAUGUACUGUAUAGUAAGUGCAAGUUACUGUUCUUUUUUGAAAGAAACUCAGUUUCCUUGAUGAAUAUUCCUUUUGUAAAGAUCCACUUCAAACCGAAUCUCUAUUGCAGAGUUUAAAAAUUCAGCGUUGCUACCUUCUGCUUCUUUUACUACCAGUUUUUUUCCAUAGUGAUGCUGUCAAGUGAGUUAGCGUUCCUACAGCCUUUAUUUAGAAAAACUUAACUGUAUUUUUUUUUAAAAAGUUUCUUCUUUGGCACUGCAUCUGAGUAAAAACAAGACCUACUGAUGAUUUUGUAUUUUCAGACAGUCGUUUAGCUAUUAGUGGGUUGAUUAUUUCGUGAUAAUCUUGGGUUUUACAAAAGAAAAAAGUUAAAAAAUCUGUUUUCUUGUAUUUUCAUUCUUUGGGUGAUGCAGAAGGCAUUUUAACCUGAACUCUUUUCUACCUUAAAAUACUCUGUAGUUUCUUUUGCAUUUUAUUGAAUACUUUAAAGCAAACAACAGGAUCAGUCUGGUUGAUAUAAGAGGGAGAGAGAAAUAGGACAUUUUAAGAUGCUGUCAAAGAAAAAAAUCCACCUCCAAAGACUUCAGUUAAGAAUUGGGAGAAUGUUGAAAGUGAAACCCUACUGGAGAAAAAUCUGUCAUUUAAAAAUUCACCAAUUGUCUAAGGGAAGAACCCUGAACUUUAUGCAACUAAAGCCAUUUCACUCUCCUAGUUGCAGGUCAUUUAUGAAACUUAGUUUAAAAUAGCAUCUCAGGGCAGUGGAUUACACACAAGAUUAAGCUGGAGGUGACUUAGGGUGCCUGUUCUUGGUCAGUGUGAUGAAUUCAAAGGACUAUUACUUUUAAUCACCAACUUGCUGAUGUUUUAUUAAUGGAGUUGGAAAACAUUUAAGAACUUAAGAGCUCUCCCCCACGCCCUCCCCAAAGCGACUCGAGAGCAGAGCGGUAUGCACUUUCUUAUUUCUAGGCUGGAUAGUACGUUGCUUGGUGCUCCAUUCUCAGCCGCCACACCCCACCCAAACUUCGGUAUCUGCUCUCCUAUAUUUGGGGUGAAGAAAAAGUAGGUGGGGCAGGCCCGGAAGACAGGCGCGAGAUGGGGGUCGCAGGAGGCGGCACACACCUCCGUCAACAGUCAGCUCCCUUUGCCUAGGCUGGAAAUGGUUUUAACAGGCGGUAAAAUUUCAUCUUGCGGUGUCAAAUUGGGGUCAUUUUGGGGUUAGAGUUCUCAGUGUCCGAGAGGAGCUGUCCAGCUGCGUGGGGACUCAUUAACUGCAAAAGAUCUGUUUCAGUAAAAACAAUUCAAAGACAAUCAGAAAGCUAAAGACCUUCUACAAAUCGCAUUUUACAAGUGCCCCAGAACAAAUAUGGAUGCUGAAACCUUUUUCUUAAGAAUCCCAAAUCGGCUGCUUGGCUCUGGAGUGGGGGUGGGGACACAGCAUCAAACAAGAGGUGAAAGGGAGGGGAUCUGACCGGGUGGGGGUGAAUGGGAGGGGAAAUCGGGCCUCUCAAAUUUAAGCGUCUGUUUUUAAUCACCUUUCUUAUUGAAGAAUCUUCACGACUUCUGAGAACUGCUGCUUCUCUAUUUUUCCUUUUCUUUUUUGUCACUACAUGGAAUGCUAUUAUAGGUAACAAUUUAAGAUUUAAAAAUAAUAAUUGAAUUCCUCCAUGACUACUUAAUUUAAAGGGCACUGACUCUAUGGAAUGUAUUUAAUUUGAAAUGAGCGUUUAUGAUUCUAGGCUCUAUUUUAGAUGAAUUUGCCACCUUCCUUAAGGAACCUGUGUGCCUGUUUCAUCAUUUCUCUCCCCCUAGAAACUUGUGUCCUUAGCACAGAUAACUCCAAAUUCCUCCGAACCGUGAGGUCCACAGUGUUAAUCUGUGUAUUAAAAUAACUGGGUUUAAAUUCUUUUUGUCUUCUUACAACAGUUAGAAUAAUUGAUGGUUGCUAGAGGAGCAAAUAAAUCCAACCGUAAUCUUAUUUGUAACUUCAGUUAAUGUUUUGAAUUGGAGCAUUUUGGAUUAAGCAGAUUUUUUUUUAACUCUAUAAGGUUAAUUUUUAUUUGUGGAGGUUCUGUUUGUUGGUUUGGAAGAAAGAUAUUAAUUAUUACUUUGAUUUUUUAAAAAUUCCUUCAGGAAAAAGGAAAGUGCAGUUUUAAAAUCGGAAGCUAGAUGUGUGAGAUGCCAAGGGUUUUACAAUAAAACUAAAUCGACAUUUUAAAGUAUUAUUUGAAAGAAGUUUUCUUGUCACUGAGCUGAGCACGUAAAAAGGAUGAAAGAAUUUUAUUCUUCCUCUCUCUUUGGACUCCACCUCUGUCACUAGGUCUCUCUCUAUGUUUUCACUAUUCUUUGGGUUCUGAAAGUAACAGUAAAUUUUUGCAGUCUAGCUCUUUUCUCCAAGCGUCCCAAAGUAUUUACAAAUUGUUAUUCAGAGUUUUGCGGCUCUGCAGAAUCAGCCUUGAGCUCAGCAUCGCUGGGACAAAGGCGGAGGGGGCUUGUGUUCUGCUCCAGACCUGCUAGCUGACAGUUGGAAUUUUUGAUAUAUAUUUUAUUUGGCGUUUCCAAUAAUUUGUUUGCCUCUCCCUCCACACUCCCUUGUAGCCAUCUAUUACUUAAAAAACAUCUCUUCUCUAUAAACCUCAGGUCAUCCUUGUGAACUGCUCUUGACCUUCCCAGAGAUGAACCAGCAGCUCUGAAAGUUGAACUAGGAAGAAUUUCACGUACUUCUUUACCUGUUAACUUUGCUCACUUUCUUCCUAGUUGAGAUCAGGAGAGGAAAGGGAAUCGUUUUUGUUGUUUGUGUUUGUUUGGUUUUGGUCCUUGCUCCACUUGGGCUUUCUACCAUUUAUUUUUCUCUCCUCCCAAUUAAUAUCAAUAAGGCACCCCACGUUUUUUUCUUAAAUAAUAUGGGGUGGAAUCACUAUACUUUCUUUCCUUUUACUCUCUUAUGGCUUAUUUCUCCCAAUUUUAGCUGCUUUCCCAUCUCGCUGAAGGCGAGUAUUUCAAUAAAUAGCCCUCUAGCGCUAUCUGGCGGGGCUCCAAACACGCCCUGCGCUAGCUCUCGCGGUCUCUGCCUCCUUCCCGCGCUCUGCUUUCCUCUCUUCUUUCCACUCUCUUCUCUUUCCCUCUAUCUUGAUCCUAAUCCCCUUUCUUCCUGCUGCCUCUUUUGUACCUCCUACCCCCGCUUCCAGGCGCAGACAGCUGGGAAUGGCCAAUUCCAUGAGAGCCUUGGAAUUAGGUGAUGCUCAGGCAACGGAGCUCUUCGAGGACCCCCACCUUCACCCACCGGGGCCGCACACCUCCUUUGCCUUUGAUUAGCAUCUUAGUGUUGCUUGACGUGUUGCGUAAGUUCUAGCGUCUCAACUGGCGGUGGUUUGGAGGGGCUUAAAACUACAUUUGUGAAGUGUGGAGGAAAGAAAUCAGACACAGAAAUCCUGGUAGAGUCCAACUAAGUUUUAAGUCCGGAGGCCGAGUCUCAGGGCGAGUUUGAGAAAGGGGUGGGGACAGCAAGCAGCAGCGCCCGACCUUCGGGAGAGAGCUGGAGUGCGGGCGCGAGCCGCCCCCUCCCCGUCCAGUUGCUGUAACAUCACAAUGGAAUGCUCGAGUUUCCGUCCUGGGCCUGUCCAGUAUCUCUUUUUCUAAUGAAAGCUAUAUUCCACCACCACACCAAAUCUGGCGAGGAGUGGGAGUGCGAGAGCGUGCUGCAGAGCCCUCAGGGCAAGAAGAGAAAGCCAGCAGCCCGGGAGGACAGGAACGCACGCUUCAGGAUGCAGUCCGCCAGCGGCCUCCCUCUUUUCUCGAAGAGAUUUGUCCUCUCUUAUUUGUGGCUUGUUUGUUUUUAAACAGUAGCCUGCAGACGCUGAGGGAUUCCCUCCAUGUCUGAUAGGAAAAACAGGGUCACUUCUGGACUAGCUCUACAGCAAAGCCAGGGCCACUUCUGGACUAACUGUAAGGAUGUGUUUUUGUUUCCAUAAGACUGAACCACUUUUUGUAAACCUUUUAUUGUAUUUAAAUAAAUCUAUUUGCACAUACAUUAAGAGAAGCUAUACAUACAAAUAGUUUGGCUUUAUGCUGUCAACCCAACAUUAGGAAAAAAAACCCAACAGAAUCCAAUUGGGGAGCUCUCCAUACCCACCUUUAUUGCAAAAGAGAAAAUAAAGAAAAAAGGAAAGCAAAAGAAAGUUUCCUGUGUGCAUCUGUGUGUCUUGGUGUGCACGUUUAUAAACAUCUCCCAGUCGGUGUUUGCGUGUUACUUCCCUCCUGCCACACACUCCAAGGCAGAGGCAUCGAGGGAUCGCCCCCAAAGAGCUGUGUUUACGUAGGUGUUUUUUUUAAUCUUUCCGCCAUGUAUGACAAGUGUUACUUCAAGAAAUUCAUCAGCCUUCUACAUAUACUUCCAGUUUUGCUGUAAUGAUCUGCAGAAGAGAACUGCCAUCACUUUCUCACAUCCCAAGGUGUUGCAGGAACUCAGAGAAAGGGGAGAGUGGCUGAAACACUUAAUUACAGUGGGGGAGGGAGGCGGGAGUGAGGCAAGUCCUUUACCUGCCUAUACCUGGGGAAAGUGCUGAAUCGAAUCCUCUCGGCGAAUAUUUGGAAAAGGUAUAGUUGCCUUUUUUUUUUUUAUG